GAUGAACGCUGGCGGCGUGCCUAAUACAUGCAAGUCGAGCGAAUGGAUUAAGAGCUUGCUCUUAUGAAGUUAGCGGCGGACGGGUGAGUAACACGUGGGUAACCUGCCCAUAAGACUGGGAUAACUCCGGGAAACCGGGGCUAAUACCGGAUAAUAUUUUGAACUGCAUGGUUCAAAAUUGAAAGGCGGCUUCGGCUGUCACUUAUGGAUGGACCCGCGUCGCAUUAGCUAGUUGAUGAGGUAACGGCUCACCAAGGCAACGAUGCGUAGCCGAGCUGAGAGGGGGAUCGGCCACACUGGGACUGGGACCCGGCCCAGACUCCUACGGGAGGCAGCAGUAGGGAAUCUUCCGCAAUGGACGAAAGUCUGACGGAGCAACGCCGCGUGAGUGAUGAAGGCUUUCGGGUCGUAAAACUCUGUUGUUAGGGAAGAACAAGUGCUAGUUGAAUAAGCUGGCACCUUGACGGUACCUAACCAGAAAGCCACGGCUAACUACGUGCCAGCCGCCGCGGUAA
rnacentral:rRNA from 1 species